GCCUCUGUUGCUUAGUUGGUAGAGCAUUGCUUCGGUAAGGCAAAGGUCACGGGUUCAAAUCCCGUCAGAGGCU
rnacentral:tRNA from 3 species